UGGGGAAUCUUGCACAAUGGAGGAAACUCUGAUGCAGCGACGCCGCGUGAGCGAAGAAGCCUUUCGGGGUGUAAAGCUCUUACGCCAGGGACGAUAAUGACGGUACCUGGAGAAGCAGCUGCGGCUAACUACGUGCCAGCAGCCGCGGUAAUACGUAGGCAGCAAGCGUUGUUCGGAAUUACUGGGCGUAAAGGGUGCGUAGGCGGCGCUCUAAGUUUGGUGUGAAAUCUCCCGGCUUAACUGGGAGGGUGCACUGAAAACUGGAGCGCUUGAGUAUGGGAGAGGAAAGCGGAAUUCCUGGUGUAGCGGUGAAAUGCGUAGAGAUCAGGAGGAACACCUGCGGUGUAGACGGCUUUCUGGACCAUAACUGACGCUGAGGCACGAAAGCGUGGGUAGCAAACAGG
rnacentral:rRNA from 1 species